rnacentral:rRNA from 1 species
AGUGGCGAACGGGUGCGUAACACGUGAGAAACCUGCCCUGAACUUGGGAAUAACAGUUGGAAACGACUGCUAAUACCGAAUACCUUCACGACGUCGCAUGGCGAUGUGAAGAAAGCCUUGUGCGGUUUAGGAGGGUCUCGCGACCUAUCAGCUAGUUGGUGAGGUAACGGCUCACCAAGGCAUCGACGGGUAGCUGGUCUGAGAGGAUGAUCAGCCACACUGGAACUGAGACACGGUCCAGACUCCUACGGGAGGCAGCAGUGGGGAAUAUUGCACAAUGGGCGCAAGCCUGAUGCAGCGAUGCCGCGUGCGGGAUGAAGGCCCUAGGGUUGUAAACCGCUUUCAGUAGGGAAGAAAAUGACGGUACCUACAGAAGAAGGUGCGGCCAACUACGUGCCAGCAGCCGCGGUGACACGUAGGCACCAAGCGUUGUCCGGAUUUAUUGGGCGUAAAGAGCUCGUAGGCGGUUCGGUAAGUCGGGUGUGAAAGCUCUGGGCUCAACCCAGAGACGCCACCCGAUACUGCUGUGACUUGAGUACGGUAGGGGAGUGGGGAAUUCCUGGUGUAGCGGUGAAAUGCGCAGAUAUCAGGAGGAACACCAGUGGCGAAGGCGCCACUCUGGGCCGUAACUGACGCUGAGGAGCGAAAAGCAUGGGUAGCAAACAGGAUUAGAUACCCUGGUAGUCCAUGCCGUAAACGUUGGGCACUAGGUGUGGGUCUCAACCAACGAGAUCCGCGCCGUCGCUAACGCAUUUAU